rnacentral:rRNA from 1 species
UACGUAGGGUGCGAGCGUUAAUCGGAAUUACUGGGCGUAAAGCGUGCGCAGGCGGUUUUGUAAGACAGAUGUGAAAUCCCCGGGCUCAACCUGGGAACUGCGUUUGUGACUGCAAGACUCGAGUGCGGCAGAGGGGGGUGGAAUUCCACGUGUAGCAGUGAAAUGCGUAGAGAUGUGGAGGAACACCGAUGGCGAAGGCAGCCCCCUGGGUCGACACGUGACGCUCAUGCACGAAAGCGUGGGGAGCAAACAGG